rnacentral:rRNA from 1 species
AAAUUGAAGAGUUUGAUCAUGGCUCAGAUUGAACGCUGGCGGCAGGCCUAACACAUGCAAGUCGAACGGUAACAGAAAGCAGCUUGCUGCUUUGCUGACGAGUGGCGGACGGGUGAGUAAUGUCUGGGAAACUGCCUGAUGGAGGGGGAUAACUACUGGAAACGGUAGCUAAUACCGCAUAACGUCGCAAGACCAAAGAGGGGGACCUUCGGGCCUCUUGCCAUCGGAUGUGCCCAGAUGGGAUUAGCUUGU